AACAUGAAAGCCAAAACCAACCAAAUUUUCUCUCUCUACAUUUUGGCUGCUCUAUUAUAAGGUAGUACUGCCUUGCUCUACUUUGGAACGCUGUUUUCUCGAGAAGUGACAUCUUCUUCCUUGAAGGAAAAAAAAAAAAAAAAGGGGAAAAGCUUCCUUCUUUCUGUGAAGAAUCAAGAAAGGUGUGCCUUGUGGGUGAGAAAUGUAUGCAGAGACAGGGCUAUUUUUCCCUUACAUGCAGAACUUUUGUCAAGAUUUUCAGCAGUUUGAAGAGUUCUGCAAAACCCAGAAACCCAAUGCUUCAAUGAACAACUUGGUUCAGACAUCCACAAUAUCUGAAUAUGACCUGGGAGGAGAAGGUGAUCUGUUCAAAGCUCCAGAACCCAUCAUUGAAGAACCAAUUGUGGGCCUUGAUCCCAUGACUGCAGCCAUCUCAUUAAUCUCCUGUGGUGAAGAUGUCAUUACUUCACAAGGACUUAAGGCUGCAGAUAUAGAAUCAAUUCAAAAUGAGCAGCUUUUAGAGGUUCUCUAUGAGUGCGAGAAGGAUCUCAUGGCGCAAGCAGCAAUAGAAACACCACUGCCAGAAGUCUUGGAUAUAAAGAUUCCUGUUGUGAAGACAGAUGAAAACCAAAAUCAAGGAAACAAAUUGCUCUGUGAUGUACCAUUCCAGAAAAGUGUCAGUUCAGGUUGUUUAAGCUCAAUGGAAUGGAUGCAAGGGGCUGCAAUCAAGCCUAGUUUCCUGGAUUUCUCUGGAAUGGAUUUUGGUUCUGUCUAUGGAAUGAGGAGAGCAUUUAGUGAAGGAGAUAUAAAGAUGUUUCUGGCCAUUUCGACAGGAUGGGGUGGGUCAUUGAUACUGAGUUUUUAUGACAGACUCUUGGCAAUGGUAAUACGACUGUAAUCCACUCUCCCCUUGAGCGACCAUUAAUUGUCAGCAGCUGUUCUACUGAAGAUCGAAGGGAGAAGCUUUCCAGAUACAGGAAUAAGAAGACAAAGAGGAACUUUGGAAGGAAAAUCAAGUAUGCUUGCAGGAAGGCUCUUGCUGACAGUCAACCAAGGAUCCGAGGAAGGUUUGCAAGGACCGAAGAAUCUGACAACUCCAAGAGGCAAGAACUUUUUUCUAAUUAAAUAAUUACAAUGUAAAACAGGAAUGAUGUAGCUAGGUCCAAUGAAGUAAUGGAAAAGAUGAGUAGUAGUGUCAAUUUGGCAUAUAUAGCCUUUGUGGAAAUCUUAGAAUGGUAAAUGCUAAAUAAACCAGAACCCAGCUCCUGAGAAACAGUUCUGUCUUAUUUGCUGUAAUAACACCCUGUGUAUCGGAAAUGGCCAAGUAGGAUGUACAUAGUGUCUGUUCAAUAAAAUGGCAAAGCAGAAAUUUGUUCCUGUUCA